GAUGAACGCUAGCUACAGGCUUAACACAUGCAAGUCGAGGGGAAACGGCAUUGAGUGCUUGCACUCUUUGGACGUCGACCGGCGCACGGGUGAGUAACGCGUAUCCCACCUUCCCAUUACUGUGGGAUAACCUGCCGAAAGGCAGACUAAUACCGCAUAGUCUUCGAUGACGGCAUCAGAUUUGAAGUAAAGAUUUAUCGGUAAUGGAUGGGGAUGCGUCUGAUUAGCUUGUUGGCGGUGUACCGGCCCACCAAGGCUACGAUCAGUAGGGGUUCUGAGAGGAAGGGCCCCCACAGUGGAACUGAGACACGGUCCAAACUCCUACGGGAGGCAGCAGUAAGGAAUAUUGGUCAAUGGACGGAAGUCUGAACCAGCCAAGUAGCGUGCAGGAUGACGGCGCUAUGGGUUGUAAACUGCUGUUGGAUGGGGAUAAAGUUAGGGACGGGUCCCUAUUUGCAGGUACCAGACGAAUAAGGACCGGCUAAUUCCGUG
rnacentral:rRNA from 1 species